rnacentral:rRNA from 1 species
AUGGCAGAGGCUGAUCCGUGUGGUGCUCUGCUGGAUUGGGAUGAAGGCCACGCUGGUCCUUCUUGGUUUGGCAUGCAGUGCUCGGAUGAUGGGUGGGUCAUAGGCCUGAACUUGUCAAAUCUUGGUCUGAAGGGAAUGUUAUCUCCUAAGAUUGGACAGCUUUUUAAUAUGCAUUUUCUUGUACUGCACAAGAACUUAUUCUAUGGUAUUAUCCCUAGAGAGAUGGGAGAUUUACGAGAGCUGACGGUGUUGGAUUUGGGGCACAAUAACUUCAAUGGAUCAAUUCCAUUAGAGCUAAUAAACAUUUUAUCCCUGGAAUUUAACUUUCUUAAAGGAAACAUACUUUAUGGUGAUUUACCUCUUGAACUAAAUGAGCUCAUCAGUCUGUGUGAGUCUCAGGUUCGCCAUGGCAGGUCUUUCUCAAAUAGGAUGCACACUGCAAGGUUUGUCUAA